UUGUAUGUUGACCCUUCUGUGAACUCUUUGUAAGGUUCAGAAUUCAGAUUGAGUAAUAGUUGUUACAUUAGUUCUAGAAUACUAGGUUAAUUUGAUUCUAAGCUGAUUAUUAGCCUCAGUGUGCUGUUCAUAAACGCUUGUGACUUUGAGAUAUUUCCAAGAUGCCCUCGAGUCCUUAGGUACCACCUUCCCCACCCUUACCCACAAGCAUCCUGAGAUGUUGGAGCUGUUAAUAAUCAAGAUUUCUGUUCUAAAGGGUUGGUAUUAGGUGGUAUUUCCUGUCAUCAUGGCUAGUGUGCUUCUGCCAUCAUCAUUAUAGCUAAAAUAAUACUUCUUUCAGAUGCCUGUUGUAUAAUCAGAAGACUUUCAUAUUGAGAUUAUAAAUUCCUAAUAAAAUAUCACUAAUUCAGAGUGUUGGCGUCAAAGCUAGGCUGAAUAGUAAAAAGUAUAAAUCAUGAACUGUUUUAAAAGUGGGAACCCUAUUUUAAAGUGUAUUAGAACUGCUGCAGUAGAACUUUUGGGGAUAGGAGUUCUGUUAGGCUUCCUUUAAUAAAAGUAAGAUCAUGUAAAAUUAGCUCUCAUUUACAUACAAUGUUAAUGUGCUCAAAUCCCUGUAGAGUCGUAGAAUUCAGAAUUUAUGGUAUUUUAUUGUACUUAGUAAAUACUAACCUGAAAAAACAAAGGCGUUACACAUCUGAGUUCUGCUCAGUGUUGAAUAUAAAAUAGGAAGUGAUAGUGUUGUUACAAGAUAAAUGGAUAUUUUCCUGUGUUUAAUAUGUAUCUUCAAAAGGACAAGAAUCGAGAUGUUAGUCUCAGAACACAAGUAGUUAUAACCAGAGGAUUUUGGAGACUGAACUUAGAAUCUAGAAUGAGAAAGAAAUACAUUUGUAAAUUCAUUUGCAUUGAAGUUUGUGUUUGGUUUCAGUUUCACACAUGAAGUAGGGCGUUUCCUGGUUAACACUACGGUUUCAGUGACCUUUUUAGUAAAAGAAGUUGUUAUCUGAAAUACCAUGUCCAUAUAAUUACAGGCAAACUGCAACCCAGUUUAUUUAUUUAAAAGAUGUGGAAUGAAUUACUGUGCCCUCCCACCCAUAUGUCCAAUUACACUUUGUUUAAAAUCGCAUCAGCGAUUUCAGAGUUUUUCACUAGCUGUUUCAUCAGAAGGCAGUAGGCACAAGGAAAAAAAAAACCCAAAUCAGAUAAUUUUACUACUUACUAGUUGUUUAUCAGUGUUCAUAGAGGAUGAAGUUACAGGUUCAGCUCAGAUAACAUUUAACAUAACCAAAUCUGCAGAAUUCACCGUUUGCAAUACAACUGUUGUCAUCCCAUGCUUUGCCACUAACGUAGAAACGAAACUGCUUACAGAUCUGUAUGUAAAGUGGAAAUUUAAAGGAAAAGACAUUUUUACCUAUGAUGGAGCUCAAGGUCAGUCUUCUACUCCUAGCAGUGGUUUUAAGAGUGCAAAAAUCACACCGACAGAAUUACUACAUGGAAUUGCCUCUUUGAAGAUGAAAAAGAGUGACGCUGAACUUGGGAACUACACGUGUGAAGUAACAGAAUUAACCAGAGAAGGCGAAACAGUCAUAGAACUAAAAUACCGUGUUGUUUCAUGGUUUUCUCCAAAAGAAAAUAUUCUUAUCAUUAUUUUCCCAGUUUUGGCUAUACUGUUAUCCUGGGGACAGUUUGGUGUUGUGACACUUAAAUAUGCAUCUGAUCCUAUGAAAGGGAAAACCAUUCUUCUGUUUGUUGCUGGACUGUUGCUCACCAUAGUUGUUAUUGUUGGAGCCAUUCUUUUCAUCCCAGGUGAAUAUUCAACAAAGAAUGCUUCUGGGCUUGGUUUAAUUGUAAUUCCUACGGUGAUACUAAUAUUACUUCAGUACUUUGUGCUUAUGACAGCUUUUGGGAUGACCUCUUUUGCCAUUGCCAUAUUGAUCCUUCAGGUGCUGGGCUUUGUACUUGCUGUGGUUGGAUUAAGCCUCUGUAUCCCGGAAUGUACCCCGGUGCAGGGCCCUCUUCUGAUUUCAGGUUUGGGUAUCAUAGCUCUAGCAGAAUUACUGGGACUAGUUUCUAUGAAGGUUGUGGCUUCCAGUCAGGGGACUAUACAACCUCCGAGGAAAGCUGUAGAGGAACCCCUUAAUGCAUUUAAAGAAUCAAAAGGAAUGAUGAAUGAUGGUAAGUAUACAAUGUACCUACAAUUUUAGUUAAAAUAUGGGCAUGGAAAAGAAAAUAGCUUCUUGGAAGUACGACCUUUUUUUUCUUUUAACUAAAAGAGACACUGUCAAAUCAUAAAGGUCCAAAUUUUUUUAUUUUUAAAAUUUUAUAAAACUAGGAAUAUAAAAGUUACAGGGUGUCACUAAUCCAUUCAUAUAGCUCACAGCUGAGAGAUUCAGUGUCUUGUGACUGUAACUUUAAAAUACUUUUUAUAAGGCACGUAGAUAAAUCUAGCACAAAUCUUUAUCAUUUUGACAGAGUUUCUUUUAUUUGUGUUGGUGUUUUUGUUGCAUUUAACCAAUGAGGGCUUAAUAUCUCUGCUUUUCUAAGCAGGAACUUGGUUCUAACCUUUUGAGAGAGGAUUUUAAAAAAGGAGAGAUGUUUAGUUACUCUAGCUUUUGUUUCUUUUUGGAAAUCUGGGCUAGUGAUAACUUUUCACCUGUAAUGGAAUAUUUCAAAGACAUGUAUUUGUCAGUAGUUAAAGAUAAUGUGAGUGCUACAAGCAUUCAUUUUGAUUUUACAUUAACAUGCUAUGAUUCUUCAGUUCUGUUCACAUUUUAAUAAUUAUAUUUGUGUUCUUACCAAAAAGAUCUGCAUGCAUUUGAUAUUUAAAGUCAUCCCUUGAUCUUGUAAAUGGUUGUCUUUGUAUUUUAAAUGGUCAGCUUUUGUUUCACUGUCUUAAAGUCCGUGACCUAACUGCUCAGCUCCACAACCAAGUGCAGUGUUCAGCACAAGAGGCUGCAUUCCCCUAAGUGCAAUUAAUUUUUGCAUAUGAUUAAAAACACUCCGAUCACCUGUUGGUGGAUUAAUUUUAAAACAGUGUUUAGGUUUGUGUUCAACAAGAAAUCACAGAAUGCUCCUAUUUUUGCAGUCUGUGUCACAGCCCUUAUUACAGAAAUGCAUGUUUUGUUAUACAAGUCACCACCCUCCUGAAAAAAAAUUGUAGUUAGUAGGAAUAAAGAUAUUAAAAAAAGAACUGAUGCCUGGAAUUGUAGCAUGGUCUGUCCAUGUUUACAUUCUGGUGGUCAGUUUUUUCUUUGUUCUUUCUUUUCCUACGGUGGUGUCAUUCUUCUGUAGUUGUAUGAGGAAACUAAGCACCUUUUCACCAUUUCAGAAAAGCAGUAUAAGAACCUUGAGUGCCUCUUCUUUUGAUAAUCUCCCUUUAGACAUGACUUUUUUUAACAACUCUAUGUGGAAAUAUUGUAAAGCAGUUUUGCUUUGAAUAUUUGUGUUUUCUCAGCACAUGAAACCUCUGAUGACCUUUGAAAGUUCCCUUAAUUUUGAUACUGUUUAGCUGAUAAAAAUCAGAUUGUUUUUAAUGUCUCUCUGGUGUGUUCUUUCUACUGACAGCUGCUCAGUGCUCACAGUGUGUAUGCCUUGUCAGUGAAUAAGGUUCAAGGUGCCUUCCUAAGGUCCACAGUGUCACUGCCUUUUUCACGUGGGCCAGAUCAUAAGUUUAGUUCACUUACAUUGAAUGAGUGAUGUAGAUGGAAAGUGAAAGUAAUAGAACAUUAUUCUAGGAUCAAUAUCUUUUAUUCUGAAAAAUCAACAUCUCUUGGCUUUUCCUCAUUCACUCAGCAAAAGGAAAUUAUUAAACUGUGUUGGUUUUUAUUUUCACUUGGCCUUGCUCUUUUAUUCCCUGGUACUUAAAACAGUAAUGAUUGGCUUGGUUUAUGUCUCUGACCUUUGCAGAUCUGUGUUGAAUGUAUUUUUCUUUUAGAUACUGUAUAUCUGAAAUGAUGCCCAAUUUUUAAAUGUGUCAACUUAUUAGUGCAUAGGGAAUAGACAUGACUAGUGAUUGCAUAUUCAUUUUUCCAUUUCGUAGAAUAACUGAAGUGGAGCCAUGGACCGUGGUGUGGAGAGGCAAAAUCUACAGUGUUUCUUCACUUCUUUUCUGAUCCGGGGCAUGAAAAACGAAGAUUGAAAUUUGAACUAUGAGUCUUCUGCAUGGCAACACAGUGUGUGUCACCCACAGGCCCACAGGCCAGCCCUUGCAAGGGUGGUUUUGUUACUGUUGUAUCUCUGUUGCAUGAAAAUACUCCUCGCCUCCCUCAUGUAGUCCUGCUCAUACUCCCUUACUCUAAGAUGGAAAGGUGAGACAAAAUCCCCACAUGUCCCCCCUAGCUAGAGAAAAUUAACGUUCCGACAGUUGUGAUCGCCUGGAAUACUUUUAGGUUAUUAGCACUCGUUUUUUGCCUCAUUUGUGGGUGUGUGUUUGUGUGUGUGUGUAAGAUAGGCACAUGCAUCUUCUGUAUAGACAGAAGAGGGGUACCUACAGGAGAGCAAAUGUGAAUUUCAUGCUUUUAGUAAAAAUAUUACAAAAAAUAAAGAUCUUUGUUGGGUGAAAUUAUAUUGGAUUCAAACAUUUGAUCCCUUAAAACUUUAAAAACUUCUAGGUAAUUUGUCAAGCUUUUUGACUGGUCACUAAUACCCUCUUAAAAUACUAGUAAUUUUUGUGUAAUAAUAAGACAUUCAUAUUUGUAGUUGCAUUAAUAAUAGUUAUUUCUUAGUCCACUGAAUGUUCCCAUGUCUCUUUUAUGCCAAAUUAAUUGUCAUAUUUCAUGUUGGGACCAAGUGGUUUGUUCUUGGCAAACCUAAAUUUAAUGACCUGCUGAUGCCUCUCAAAAUACAGAACACACUAUGGAGACAGCUUGAGAAAAAGAAAAAAUACCUUUCUUCCCUAAUUGUGUCACUGUCUAAAAUAUUAGCACAUGUAGAGGGAGCUGUAUUCCCUUAUGUAAGUCUGAUGUCUCUGCUGCUCUUUUUUCUUCUGGAAAUAUUUAUGCUUUGCCGACAUAGUUUGUGAAUCAGUUUUGAUGAAAGGAGAAAAAAAGUAGAUGGACUUGAAAAAGACCCAAAUUCCUAUUCUCUAUAAAGAAAAAAUCAAGUAUGAAAGUCUUUAUAGUAAAAUUUUUUUAUAAACUAAAGUUGUACUUUUUAAUAUGCAGUGAGCUCUUUUGUUUGGGGUUUAGUCUUGGGAAUGAUCCAUCCUUUGUGUUCCAUUUAAUUCCGCCUGAUUUUUGAGGCAUUCACUGCCCUAGACUGUGCCGUCAGAAGGUAGCAGGCAAAAUGCCAAAUGCAAUCAGCUCUUCCAGUGUCACCGUCUCCAGAGAAGGGACCAGAGCAGCAGAAUCAUCUUGCUGGGGCAUCUUUGGGCCAGUUCAUUCUCUGAGAAUCAGGCUUGUAAUGGCUCCCAGUUUUCUGCCACACUAAAUUAAAAUUGCUAACAAUGUUUUGAGCAUCACUUAUCUUCCAUAAUUGCUUUUUACUCACUCAUCCCAGUUUUUGCGGUCGACUUUUGCAUUCACUAUUAUUUAUUGUACAUUCUUAGGGUGAUGCCAUUUGUCAUUUUCUGCAACAGCCUUUCCAGCUUUUCUGGCCAAAUCAGAAUAUUUUUCCCCUUCAAAACAUUCUGCACCAGCCCUUCCUCCCCGCUGGCUCGCCCUGCCAUCUGCCUCUGCCUGUCCAGCCGCCUCAGUUGUCUCCCCCUUACCCUUCCUAGUAUGUCAUCUGUCUCUGCUUACCUCCGUUGGUUUUUAAUCUGCUUCCACAGCAAGAACUUUUUCUUCCUUUCUCUUCUCUUGCAGUGCUUUGCGUACGUUAGACUCUCAGUAUAUAAGUUUGAUGAUUUAGUGUUGGCUGUAUUUAGAUUUCCCACAAUUUUUAAUAGGGUGAGCUAGAGAGUGUUCUUUUUUGACAAAUCUCACAUAUUCUGGAAACCUUAAAAGGUGACGAUUUUUCACCUUGAAACUCCAGGUCUGUUCUAUUGAAACUCCUGUUGAUAUCAGAGUGAUAUCAAUGGGGCUAUUCCAUAAGGGGGAAUAUUGCUCUUUUCAGGAUACUAUAGUCAGUAAAUGACCAGCCAAAUUACGGUUUGAGUUAAUGAAGCUCCAGAAGUGGUACGUUUACUUCCCCGUCUCAUCAGUAAGAAUUAAGCGCUGUAUCAACUUGUAGAUUUCUUUUGUCCUAAGGUGAGUGAUCAGAAAUGGAGACCUAUUGUGUAUGUAUGGAAAUACAUCCUUCUUUAAACUGGAAAAAUGAUUGCUGGGCAACCCUGUAUCUUUUCACUGUAUUUCAUUUGAUUGAGAGUUUGUUUGACUUUAGUUUUUUACAUGUGUCAUACUUGCAGAAUCACUUAACAGCCAUCACCCACUGGGGGCCUUUGUUAAGUCACUUUCAGUGGCUAAUAGAGAGAUAAUCCAAGUAACUUUUAAGAGAUGAGCAGUGAACGGGAAGUUCUUAGCCUUUGGCAUUUGAGAGCUCUUAAUUAUGAUUGUGUAAGAUCGGCUUUCCCAUAAAUACAGCCUUUUUGAAAAAAAGAUUGUAAUAAGCUUCUCUGUAAGGCAGCAUCAGUGGAAUCUUAAAAGUGUUGUUAUCGUGGUUGGUGAGACAGAGAAACAUUUUUGUUUUUAUUACAGAGCAUUAUUUACAAAAAGCCAUUGUUGAGAAUUGGAUCCCAUGUGGUAUAAAUAUCUAUUAACCAUUCUAAAUAAAGAAAAUUCCAGUGUUGCUACAUGAUGCAAGAUCCUGCUUUGGGGACUCUUUUGCAUAGCAAUUAAAGGUGUGCUGUUUGUCAGUAGCCAUUUUUAGCAGUGAAUUUAAAGACCAAAGUUUUACAGCUGUGUUGUACUGUUAAAGGGUUUUUUUUUAUAUGUAUUAAAUCAAUUUAUCACUGUUUGAAGCUUUGAAUAUCUGCAGUCUUUGCCAAGAUACUUUUUUUAUUUAAACAACAUAAUUUUGUAAAUAUUGCCCUGUAUUAUUAUAUAUACUUAAUAAAACAUUUUAAGCUGUUUUGUUGGACUCUUUCUGUUGCUUCUACAGCAGACCACAAGCACAUUCUCAGAAAUUUAAUUAUGUAUUUUCCAGUUGUCCGUACUCUAGGUAGCAGUGCAAAGAAUGACUUCAAAUAUCAAAUUUAUAAACCCAUUUUUUAAAAAAAUUUCUCAGAAAUUUAGUUUAUUAAUGUAUUUUCAAGUUGUUUGUAUUCUGGGUAACAAUGCAGAGUAACUUUUAAUAGAAGCAAAGUUUAAUUAAAAGUUUAAACAAGUCCAUUGUGUUUCAUGAUUCCUUUUCUGGUUACUUUUCCCAUGGUCGAGUGAAAACAUUGCCUGAGAAAGCAGAAGGCCUGGGUUCUGUUCUGGGCUCUGCCGCUGACUAGCAGAGGACCUCAGCAAGCCACUGGCCUCUGGUUCUGUGUCCUCAUCUGUAGAAUAAGUUAGCAUCUUACAGACUAAAACGUAUAGUUCUUCAUUCGACUUGGUUGUUAGUUAGGGUUAUUUUGAUUGCAAGCUAAAGAUAAAGGAAAUUCAGUGAGGGGAGUCAUUGGCCCAUGUAGCUCAAGAUUCAGAUGUACGACUGGAUCCUGGAACUCAACGAAAGCACCGUAAGGAACAGUGUCCUGUGGGCUUCCAGCUUUCCUUUCCCUCCUCCAUGUUGCCUUCCCUCAUGGUAACAUGGAAUGGCAGAAGAACUGCCUGCAGUCCCAGGCCCAUCCUCCAGAUCUAGGGUUAGCAGAGGGGGGAGAAAAAGCACCUCUCUCUCAAUUGUCGUCUGCAGUCUGAGAUGGCUCCUCGGUUCUCCGACCGGGUCUCAUGCCAUCCUUGACCCAAUCCCAGGCCACACGUCCUGGAUGCUCUGAGCCGGCCUGAGCCCCAUAUCCAUCCUAGAACGGAAGCUGUCAGCUCCGUCUGAAGCACAGACAGGAGGCCAGAGGGGAAGUUCUCCCAAAGCAGAAUUGGAACCAUUAUCAAAUGAUAGUGACUUAUCAAAUGAGGUGUCCUUAGGAUUUCAAGCACAGAACUCCCAGCUCUGGCUGCAUUCCUCACAGGCAGGCAUGUACUCUUAUGAUUCUGGCAUUGUAUGUGUGAUUGUAGACCAUUUGAAUGGAAAAUAAUACUUGGCAGCAAAAUACCAUCUCAUUCUUUAGCUCAUAGGUGAUGUAAUUUGUAUGCAGUGAUGAGGAUUGUUUCCCUUGAAGCAGCAAUAACUAGUGGAGUUCCGAGAGCAGUGAAUGGCUCCCCACCUGCCAUGGAAGCUGCGCUGGAGAGCACAGAGCUGCACUCCACCUGAUUAGACCCCCGGAGCUGCUGGCUCCCAGUGCAGCUGGGUUUCAGCUUUGUGUGGCACCCUUCCAGCUGAGUCUCCAGUUUGACAGCUCUAGACAAUGAUGGACUAUGGUAACACCAUCCAUGUAGGACAGGAUCUCACCAGUGACCAGUAGCUCAGGGAUUUAGCAAAACCAGCAGUGUCUGGUGUUAGAAGUGAGCCUAGGCCAGACUUCAACACUCAGUCUUUAUUUUGGGUAAGCGUCAUGCUGAAGUACCCAUUGAUCAAAUCAGAGGUAACAAAGUAUUAAAUCUCAAAUUAUGUAUAAUUGGAUGGAUUGUUUAAUAUUGAGAACAGCUCUACAGACUGCAUAGAGGUGACAGUGGGCUUAAUGAUUAGAACUUGCACCAUGUUUACUUCAUUAGCAAUUAUUUAGUCAUCUGGCUAGAAAGCAGCUGCUCUUCAGCUCUGAUAAUGGCCAAUUGUGGAAGAGCAGGUAUCUUUUUCCCAGUUUGGAUGACGAGAAAUGCUUGGUAAGGAGUCCAGUUUGGAUAGAAAUUAUUUGUCUGAAAACUGCAGUGUGAUGUCAGUUUUAAUGCAGAUAGCAUGCUAGUUUUGCAGAAUUUGCAAAACGGGCUGUUGCUCUCUUAAGGGACACAUUGCGAUACCAUGGCAUAAUACUAGGCUUUCUGGGAUCCUCUACUUAAAAUAAUCCUAUAUGAUCAUAGACCUGCCUCCAAAAAAAACAUACAGUUUUGCUACCAAAUUUUCUGUGUCUUGCCUGAGAAAUUCCUCAAGGUUAAAAUAGCAACAUACAAGCUAAUGGACUUUCUAAACAAAUGAAUUGUUUGAACAGUUUAACUCUAUUGGUUAGAAUGUGAAAUACGUCCUCCACUGAAGCUCUCUACUUAUUCAGGUCCCUGGGUGGCACAGAUUGCACUGGACUACUAACCUAAAGGCUGGCAGUUCGUAUCCAUUUAAAUAAAUUAUAACACACAGUCCACAGAGGCUUUUUGACUCAGUAACAACAGAUGUUUGUUUUGAGGUGCUAUAGUUAAGCUUAUGGAAACCCUGGUGGCACAGUAGUUACAGAGCUAUAGCUGCUAACCAAAAGGUCUGCAGUUGGAAUCCACGAGGUGCUCCCUGGAAACCAUAUGGGGCAGUUCUACUCUGUCCUGUAGGAUCACUGGGAGUCACAAUCUACUCUAUGGCAAAGGGUUUGGUUGUUUUGGUUUUUUAUAGUUAAGAUGUAUUAUGGGCGAAGUAAACUUUUGUGCACAUUCUCAUCAGAUGUAACAUUCUGUGGGAGAGUGCAUCACUGGCAUGCUGAGGGCAACUGGGAAAUACUGGACCCUGUGCUUUCCCCGCUGCUGUAAGCCUCUUCCCAGCACCAGGGGUGAGAGAGCCCUGUGGUGGCGCACCUCCAGCCCCCACCUCCUGCCAAGAAGACAAGGUGGAACCCAGUCUAGGAGUGCUUCUCACUCCAGGGAGCUACUGCCCCUGGCUCAACCAGGGAUUUUUAGAAUGUAAUGUUCAUAAACCUAGUUUUUGCAAGUUAGAGGCUGCAUGUAUUUUGUCACCGGAAGAAACCGUUCUUCAUUGCAGUAUUGUCAAGAUGAAUUGGAUAGGUAUUAUUGCAAUAUUGUCAAGUUGGAUAGGUAUUUAUUUUGGAUUUUUUUUUUUAUCGUUGAUUCGAUAAAGCCCACAUCUCCUCAGGUCUUUAGCUAUAUGUCUACCUGUCAAGAGAGGUUGUUCUGGUAACAACUGUUACUAAAUGGCUCCUAUGUAGGAAUAUAUUUGAAAGAAUCAAUGAGUACCAGUUUUUCUCACGUUCAAAGAAAGUUGUCAGAAAAUUAUGGAAUCUUUCUUUAUGCUUUUAGCCAAUUGAUAGACUGUAGGGCAUUGUUUAAUUGACUAAAAGAAUUUUGACUAAAAUUAUCCAAAAACAAUUUCGUCUGUUGUUUUAUCAAAAGUAUCAUAUUUAAUAAAAUCAAACAUUCUUGUAUUAUUUUUAUGUCUCUGGAAAAGUAUAAAAUGCAUUCUUCUCGGAAAACAUUUGGCUAAAUGAUUGGCUGGAAUAGUUCACCAGAUCUCAUCCAUGAGGCUUCCAGGUAGAAACAAUUUUCUUUCUGAAUAAACUAGACUUAACAGAGAGACCAAGCUCUCUGCCUCCUCUUUAGAAGCAGCUGGGAUUAUGUAAACAAACUCCUGACAUAAAGCGGUGGAAAAGCCUCAGAACAGAUUUUCCUGAGUGCCUGGACCUCUACGGAGGCUGCUCAGUUGCUUUAACAUGUGCUAACGAGACCAGCCUUGCCCGGUGAUCCCCACCUGGGCCAGUUACUUCCUCUGUCUUGUUCUUCGAAAGGCUUGAAGUGCCCAGGUUGUGUCAGGUAUCUUUAUACAGAGAAAAGAGUCUUUACACGUCACACCCCGCCCCCACCCCCCGCCACAGUACUCUGACCAACCAGUGGGGGUGGGAGUGGGGGCAUGGAGAGCAGAGCAAGGGGUAAACAGCUCCAUGCAAAAUUUUGUCCCUAAAAGCCUUGUUCAAAACAACCCAGCACGUAGGUCAAGAGAUUAAUUUACUCAUACAAAGAACAGUUCUUUGUUUUCGCCUGAGAAGGAAAGUCACCACUAUGAUUUCCACUAUCUGUAGAAAACGAAUUUAGAAAAAUAAAAACCUAAAGCCAAAUAAGAUUCCUGAAUCAACACAUUCUAAGACCCUGGACGCUAUCCAAAAUAACCUGGCGGUGACACAGGUGCUGAUGAAAACAGCAUUUUAUGAGUCUGCCUUCUCUGGUCCUCCUGGGUAUUUUAUUCUUCAAAUUGGGGAUAAGAAAGGGUUGAUCUUUCAAGGUGAGGAGGGAGAGAGCAGCAUAUGUUCUUCAAAAGACUUCACAAGAUAAUAGAUUUUUUCAAAGCUGUGACUGAGUGUGACUUAGUUUCAAAGGGCUUUUUUAAAAUGAAAUCUUUGCAAGCAAUAGUAAAGAAAUCUAAAACCCCCUGGGGUAACAGUUGCAGUCCUGUCAGGGAUUUAAAUCUAAUUAUUAGCCUGAAAGUAAAGCAGAGAAUCGGCCAAGUGUUAGCUUGGAAAACAGUAAUAGCCGUGGCAGUGUUCAGCGGCCCAGUCAUUAGUGCCUGGAAGGAUAAUUCAGCACAUUUAUUCUUGCCCUUAAAGAAGGCCACAGAGGCUUCGAUGGUUCCUGGUAACAGUUUACUUUUCCCUAUGGUAGAGAUGGUUUCUGUGCUUCUAGAUAUCACCUGAGUGCCUUGGACCAGCUCCAAGCACAGGCAGUUAGGGGAGAGGCAGCAUACACAGGGUCAGGCCACCGCAGCCCUGCACCUCACCGGCUGUGGGACCUUGCACAAAUCACCAGACUUCUCUGUGCCCUGUGUCUUCACUGAGAUCAUGCAUGCAAGUAUUUAGCGCAGUGCCUGGCCCAAUGUAAGCACUCAGUAGGCAUGAACUAUUUUCUCUUUUUCUUUUUCUUAAUAAACAUCUACCAAAGAGAGGAAAAAAAAAAACCAG